GGACGAACGCUGGCGGCGUGCCUAACACAUGCAAGUCGAGCGAGGAGAUUCCUCGGGAUGAUCCUAGCGGCGGACGGGUGAGUAACACGUGGGCAACCUGCCUCAUAGAGAGGAAUAGCCUUCCGAAAGGGAGAUUAAUACCUCAUAACAUUGCAGUUUCGCAUGGAACAGCAAUUAAAGGAGUAAUCCGCUAUGAGAUGGGCCCGCGGCGCAUUAGCUAGUUGGUGAGGUAAUGGCUCACCAAGGCGACGAUGCGUAGCCGACCUGAGAGGGUGAUCGGCCACAUUGGGACUGAGACACGGCCCAGACUCCUACGGGAGGCAGCAGUGGGGAAUAUUGCACAAUGGGGGAAACCCUGAUGCAGCCAACGCCGCGUGAGUGAUGACGGCCUUCGGGUUGUAAAGCUCUGUCUUCAGGGACGAUAAUGACGGUACCUGAGGAGGAAGCCACGGCUAACUACGUGCCAGCAGCAGC
rnacentral:rRNA from 1 species